CAGAGAGCUGCUUUUCUCCUUCCAUCAUGUGAACAUAAGGAGCACAGAUUUCCCCUCUCUGGGAAGAUCCCUAAAGACGGAAGCUAGUGAGUACUCUGCCUCAGCCCUCCUGCAUUCCUGAGCUUGUCCCUUUGGGAGGAGGACCAAGAAAUUCCAGGAUGAGACAGAGAAUAUUAAAAUCAGAUCAAAGGAAGAAGAAAAAAAUGGCAAUCAACAGAAUUUCAGGUCUCAAUGGGGGAAUGAAGAUAGUAUAUAUAGAUUAAGUUCUCAUAAAAUACUAGAAGAUUCAGUCAAACUGCAUUUGUGGAACUGCACUGUGGAAUUUCACCUGAGGAGCCCCAUCUGUAUGAGGGGCUGAUUUAGCAGAGAGGUUCUGGAUUUCAAGCCAAUGCCAUUAUGUGAUGAGAUUUUGAGGCUCCUGGAAAGAGGUUAAUAGUCCAGUCAGUCAGAGCUGGUGAAGUAGACUUGCUGUAGAAGGUGUGAAGGCCCAGUCCUCCCUCCACGUUUCUCCACCCUUGAAAGGUCGUGUGCAUGUCUGUUCACCCAUGAAAGAAGAGGAAGACACCAAAUGGAUGGCAUUGAUUUCAUUUUAAGGGCUGGAGAUCAAGACCUACCCAUUGUGAUGAAUAAAUCCAGGCUCUCAGCAAUGCAGGGAGAAAAAGUUUUGUCUAUCAACACUGCAGCAACCAGGUAAUUCUGUGCACAGACCAAGUCUCUUAGCACAGGCACCAGCCCUGGAGUUCAUGUCCUCAUCAAAGGAUGGAAAGAAGCAAAGCUCAAAUCAGCUUGGGAAGGACCUUACCUAGUGCUCCUGACCACUGUAACCAUCAUCCAGACAGCAGAGAAAGGAUGGACUCAUUAUACCCGAGUCAAAGUGUUGCCACCUCCACAGUCAUGGGCCAUUGUUCCAGGGGAAAGCCCUACCAAAUUAAAGCUAAGAAAAACUUAUCACCUUUCCUCACUUUGUAACUAGUCACCUUAUUAACGUAACUAGAUCAAGCCUACCUCAAGUUACCACUUUUCACACUUGUCUCAUUCUGCCCUGUGGGGAUCUCCAAAGCCAAAAGGGGUUAGCCUGUAUCCAUAAGUAUCUUUGCCCCUCCAGAAUAAACAAAACUGCUUAUAAUAUUGACUGUUAUACCCAAAGUGCAGGUGGAGAGUCUGUCAUGGUUGGGAAAACGUACUCUGGACUACUGACUAUCAAGGCUGGACCUCCCCAAGGGGAAGCUGCAUUGAUCUAAAACCCUAUAUCCACUUUACUAAAGGAUAACUCCCUCUAACUGUCAGCUUCAGCAGUGUAACACUGUGCAAAUCUCUAUCACUGCCCCCACCUCCACCAACACUAACCCCACUCUAGGUCGCUUCUAUGGCCUAGGAGCUGAUUUUCAUUCUCAAACAGGCCCAAUAGGAUCUUUUGAAAUGUGUUUCAUUGAUCCUCCAUCCUCUUCCCUUUCUUCUCCAGAGCCUUCUUUCAAUCAAACUGUUAUUCUUUCCAAUAACAAAGCCACAGUCGACAUUGUAGAAACUAGAGAUUUAGGACAAACUUCAGCAGUUGAAACAGGAUACCAAGAUACAAAUGCCUGGUUGGAAUGUAUUAAAUAUUCUGUUCGCACACUAAACAAAAGUGACUGUUAGGCUUGUGCGGCAGGCAGGCUCAAAUAGUCCCUUUCCCACUAGGAUGGUCUUCUGACCCAUUGGGCAUGAGCUGCAUGGUAAAUCUCUUUCAAAACCCCAUAGCCUGGGGCAGCAAGGCGUCCAAGACUGAAGUCAAAGGCUCUGUGGGUCAGCCUCUGAGAGCCACCCGGCCUCCAGCCUCAGAUGUUGAUUUUACCUUGUGUCUUUCACAGCAGGGGGAGAAAUUAACAUCUCUAGGAGACCCAAAAGGGUGCAAUGAAAUUGAGCCUUUCCAAGAACUUACCAGUCAAGCUGCCCUUACUCAUUCCCAAACAAACGUAUAGUGGUAUUGCGGGAAAUUACUAUUGAGUUAUCUGCCAAGUAAUUGGAGUGGUACUUGAGCUCUAGUUCAAUUGGCCAUUCCUUUCACUCUGGCAUUCCGCCAACACAGCAAGAAAAUCAAAACUGAGUUAAAAGAAGCACCGCGCCCAGAUCUUUUGACCCUCUUGUUUAUAUAGAUGCUGUUGGAGUCCCACGAGGAGUCCCAGAUGAAUUUAAAGCUCAAAAUCAAAUAGCUGCAGGGCUUGAGUCCAUGUUGUUCUGGUGGUCAACAAUAAAAAUGUUGACUGGAUAAAUUACAUCUAUUACAACCGAAAACAAUUUGUUAAUUAUACUACGAAUGCUAUCAACAGAAUAGCUGAAUAAUUAGGACCCACCAGUCAAAUGGCUUGGGAAAAUAGAAUAGCACUAGACAUGAUCCCAGCAGAAAAAAGUGAAGUCUGUGUUAUGAUUGGAAUCCAAUGUUGUACUUUGAUCCCCAACAACACAGACCCCAGUGGAAGGAUUACCAAAGCUUUACAAGGUUUCACACCUCACUAUCACCUGAACAAGCCAAAAAUUCUGGAAUGACCCCUUCACAAAUUUUAUAGAAAAGUGGUUUAGUAAAUGGACUAGUGUCCUUGAUAUUAACCUCUCUUGCAAUUGCCAUAAAUGUACUCAUUCUCAUGGGAUGUUGAAUUAUACCCUGUGCCUGAGGGCUGAGACAAAAACGUAUAGAAACAGCUCUCAUCAAAAACUCGCCUGAUUUCCCCCCUCCUUAUUCACAUGAGCUUUUUAUUUUAGAGGACCAAGUAGAAUAACAAAAUCAAAACAUGUUAAAGGGCUUGAAGAGGAAAAAUUAUAAAAAUUAAAAAGGGGGAUACAAAAGAUACAAAAGAAUACAAAAUACAAAAUAUACAAAAGGGGAGAUACAGAUACAAAAGAAUUUCCUCUUCAAAGGUUUGGCUUGUUCAGCAUCCUUGUUCUCUGUUCCCUACUUACUUCCAAGGCCAAACAAACUUCCUUAUCCUUUGUACCCCCGUCUUAGUUUCAGUAAACAACCUUCCCGCCGGUCCUUAUCUACAGUGACCACAUCUGCUACCCACUCAUGGCUCCUCCCACCAAAACUGCCCUUCCCACCAGUGUAACCACCGUUUUGCACCUCUCAAGUUAGCCAGUCGAGUUCAGCUUAGAUUGUGUGGUCUAACUCCAGGCAAUGGAGGCAGGACACAGUGGCAGGGACAAGCUGCGUUAGGGAUAAAAACCCCUUCCCUCCUUUAUUUGGUGUGUGCUUGUGGGUACCAGACUUGCGAGCAGCACCCUUCUACAGAAGUAAAUUUUGUCUCACUGAGAAAUCCUUUAAGUGCUAGUUUUCUUUGUGACUCUGAGCUUUACUCCCAACAACAACAAGAGAAUUGAGAGAACUUUAGAUCAAAAUUUGGGGUAGUUUAGGUGUAGUUUCUACAUUGGACAUUGAACUGAGAGUGAGCAAACCUCUAGAAAUGUGACAACCAGGCAACAAAGAUGCCUUGACCCUUUGGCUAAAGGAGUCUGGAAAAGAACCCAUCUUUUUUACUUAGGGCAUAAUUCGCCAUCAUCAAGAGAGAACAAAGCUAGACUAAAAUGACUGUGUAUUAGUCUGUUUUCAUGCUGCUGAUAAAAACAUAGCCAGGACCAGGAAAAAAAGGAGGUUUAAUUGGACUUACAGUUCCACAUGGCUGAAGAGGCCUCAGAAACAUGGUGGGAGGCAAAGGGCAUUUCUCAACAUGGUGGCAGCAAGAGAAAAUGAGGAGGAUGCAAAAAUGCAAACCUCUGAUAAAACCAUCAGAUGUCCUGAGAUUUAUUCACUACCAUGAGAACAAGUAUGAGGGAAACCGCCCCCAUGAUUCAAAUUAUCUCCCACCAGGUCCCUCCCACAACACGUGGGAAUUAUGGGAGUACAAUUCCAGAUGAGAUUUGGUUGGGGACACAGCCAAACCUAUCGUUCCACCCCUGGCCCCUCCUAAAUCUCAUGUCCCCACAUUUCAAAACCAAUCAUGCCUUCCCAACAGUCCAUCAAAAUCUUAACUCAUUUCAGAAUUAACCCAAAGUCCACAGUCCAAAGUCUCAUCUGGGACAAGGCAAGUCCCUUCCACCUAUGAGCCUGUAAAAUCAAAAGCAAGCCAGUUACUUCCUAGAUACAAUCGGGGUACAGGUAUUAGGUAAAUACAGCCAUUCCAAAUGGGAGAAAUUGGCCAAAACAAAGGAGUUACAGGGUCUAUUUAAGUCUGAAAUCCAGCAGGGCAGUCAAAUUCUAACACUCCAAAAUGAUCUCCUGUGACUCCAUGUCUCACAUCAAGAUCACGCUGAUGCAAGAGAUAGGUUCCUAUAGUCUCGGGCAGCUCUGCACCUGUGGCAUUGCAGGGUAUAGCCACCCUCCUGGCUGCUUUCACAGGUUGGCAUUGAGUGUGUGCAGCUUUUCCAGGCCCACGGUACAAGUUGUGGGUGGAGCUACCAUUCUGGGGUCUGGAGGACAGUGGCCCUCUUCUCACAGUUCCACUAGGCAGUGCCCCAGUGGGGACUCUGUGGGUGGGAGGGGAAGGGGUCUCUGAGCCUAUGUUUCCCUUCUGCACACUGCCCUAGCAGAGGUUCUCCAUGAGGGACCUGCCUGUGUAGCAAACUUGUGCCUGGGUAUCCUGGUGUUUCCACACAUCUUCUGAAAUCUAGGUGGAGGUUCCCAAACCUCAAUUCUUGACUUCUGUGCAUCAACACCACAUGGCUCAACACCACAUGGAAGCUGCCAAGGUUUGGAGCUUGCACCCUCUGAAACCAUGGGCUGAGCUGUACCUUGGCCCCUUUUAUCAGUAGCUGGAACAGCUAGGAUGCAGGGCACCAAGUCCCUGGGCUGCACACAGCAUGGGGACCCUGGGCCAAGCCCAUGAAAACAUUUUUUCCUCCUAGGCUUCCAGGUCUGUGAUUGGAGGGGCUGCCAUGAAGACCUAUGAGAUUCCCUGGAGACAUUUCCCCUAUUGUCUUAAGGAUGAACAUUUGGCUCCUUGUUACUUACAUGAAUUUCUCAAGCCAGCUGGAAUUUCUCCUCAGAAAAUGGGGUUUUCUUUUCUAUUGCAUCAUCAGGCUGUAAAUUUCCUGAAUUUUCACAGUUUCCCUUUUAAAAUGGAAAGCUUUUAACAGCACCCAAGCCACCUCUUGAAUGCUUUGCUGCUUAGAAAUUUUUUCCACCACAUACCCUAAAAAUCAUCUCAAGUUCAAAGUUCCACAAAUCUCUAGGAUGGGGCAAAAUGCCACCAGUCUCUUUGUUGUAACAGGAGUCACCUCUGCUCCAGUUACCAACAAGUUCUUCAUCUCCAUCUGAGACCACCUCAGCCUGGACCUUAAUGUUCAUAUCACUAUCAGCAUUUUUGUGACAGCCAUUCAACAAGUCUCUGGCAAGUUCCAAACUUUCCGACAUUUUCCUGUCUUCUUCUGAGCCCUCCAAACUGUUCCAACCUCUGCCUGAUACCCAGUUCCAAAGUCACUUCCACAUUUUCAGGUAUCUUUUCAGUAACGCCCCACUCUACUGGUACCAAUUUACUGUAUUAGUCCAUUUUCAUCGUGCUGAUAAAAACAUACCCAAAACUGGGACGAAAAGAAGGUUUAAUUGGAUUUACAGUUCCACAUGGCUGAGGGGCCUCAGAAUGAUGGCGGGAGGCAAAAGGCACUUCUUAUAUGGUGGCAGCAAAAUAAAACGAGGAUACAAAGUGGAAACCCCUAAUAAAACCAUCAGAUCUCCUGAGAUUUAUUCACUACCAUGAGAACAGUAUGGGGGAAACCACCCCCAUGAUUCAAAUUACCUCCCACAACACAUGGGAAUUAUGGGAGUACAAUUCAAGAUGAGAUUUUGGUGGGGACACAGAGCCAAACUAUAUCAGACCACUUAGCCAUUUGACAGAACUAGAUAUGCAAUAGGGACAUUUGAGAACCCCAGAAAGGAACUGAAUGGACUUCUCUAUGUGCAACAUAUAAACAACUUAGGCAUUUACAUUCUGAAUCAUUAGGGCAUGCUAGACUCUAUGUAGGGGGAGAACCUUGUAAUGCUAUAAUUUCUCAUGAUUACUAAGCUGGGGAAAAGAUAGAUAUAUAACUAAAUAAUACAAGGUUAUUUUUGAGCCUGGACAUCUCAGAAUGUCUUCUAUUGUUUACAAAAUAAUGUGUGUUAGGGGACAGGUAAAGGGCACUUGAGGUCUAUAACAACUUCCAACUACUUUCUGCCUGUCCUUUAGGAUCUCUGGCUCUCAAAUGGCUAAAGUGACUUUACCUAGUCUCUCAAGAACUCAUGUGUCAGCCAGGGAAUCCACAUAUUAUCUGAAAUAUAUAGGUGCUAUCAUUAGCACUACAACUACCCUUAGGCCCAAGGUGACACUACCUCAUAGAGAAGACUCUCUUCCUUGAAAAAAGAGAAGACACUGGAAAGGAGCCUCAACAGACUGGAAAACUUCAUGACAUCAUUGGGAACAGUCUGCUUCCUGCUGCUGCCAUAAACCUAGUACUCUCUCUCCCUUCAUGGUAGUGGUAGUUCUGGUCCAGUUUACUGCAUACAAGUCAUACCAUCCUAACAAGGCCUUUCCUGAGCAUCACCUAUCCCUGGCUAGCCACUGUCUCUUACGGUCUUGUCUUCUCCCCUCACUGGCACACACAAAAAAUACCAACUUUAUCUACCUGGCUGGGGCUUUCUCCUGUUUGGGGGUUUCCCGUAUGUUUCUUCCCUUUCACUUCAGCCUUUGUCUAAACUAAGCAAUUAUUCUCUUCCCAUUCCCUGGACCAGAUUUUCUUUUCAUUAAUUAGUAGGUCUCUUCCCUUCCUCCAGGGCAUCAAGCGUUUUUACCUAUCCAUUCAGACUUUUCCAAUCUCCAUCUGCUCGCUUUAAAAUAAAUUGCUUGCUUUUUCUUAUUUAUUGAAUUAUUUGGGUGAGGGGUGAGAAAGAGAAAAAUUCAAUAAUUUCUAUAAUCAAAAUUUCUUUGUUUUACAUUGUUUGCCGAUGGAUUAUUGUUAUCUGAAACAUCUGAGUCUUUUUUCUUCUGCAAAUAAAUAGCAUCAUCCUCUGAGUGAAAGACAUCGUUAAUACUAAGCUGCAUGAAAUGAUAUUGACAAAUGACCUGUCCCCUGAGUAGGGCAAAUGCAUGAGAGCUUUAUUAUGGACACCAAGAAAGAGGAAUGGAAUCUAGUUCUAAAGUCAAAUCAGUGUCAACGUAAACCAAAGCAAUUGAUUAAAUGGAGGCACUUUAUAGGACCUAUAUCAAUUAAUGAUUUAAGAAAUCUGAAAUGAAAUGCUCUAAGAAUUAAAAACACUUCUUGAAGCAUUUCUUCUCUCUCCCCCAGAGGCUAGGGAACACUCAGUUGGAAUUCUGUGGCAUGUGUGCAAAGUAAAAAUGGGAUUUCCAUGAGUUAUGCACAAAGUUCUUAAUUGCACACUGUCACUGGAGCCAUUGUCACCCACCACCAAAUCUUGUGUCUCCAUCCAAAAACAAAAAGAGGGAAGAUUCGUGUUAUUAGACUAGACAUGCCAUGUCAAAUUAAGGGGAGAAAUAUGCAGAAUACCCAGCCCGAUAAUGGGAAACUGAAGAACUAAAAUUGCAUAUUGAAUAUGUUCUUCAGACAAAAAAAAACUUAAUUCCAUUUGAAUUUUAUAGUAGUUUACACUUAAAAAAUUAGGAGAAGAAAAUGGGUACUUUAGUAGAAUUUUAUUUCUGCAUACACUGUCAGAAUAGAUUUUUUUUCAGAUGGGGAAAAUCCCUAUACGCUGGAUUCUAUCUUUGAAGGUAGAAGAGAAAGGAUGGAAAAUAUCAUGUACUUUAAAUACAUCUUUCUGUAUCUUACCUCCCAAUUUUUUUUAAUAGUAUGGCCUCACAAAGAUUGAUUUUACUGCUGCUGAAAACUGUCUGAAGAUGAGAAGCAGUUUCAGUAAGAACAACAGAGAGUAAACAAAGCUAAGAUAACAACAGUGAAUGCCACAAAUUCUGAAUAGAACAUAACAUGGAUAAACUGAUUUGUUCUACUUCAUUAAGUUACACUGAAGUUGGAGAAGUUUGCAGAACUUUGGCAUACAUAGAGGUCACAAUAGUAUAUGUUUUUAUCAAACUGAAUUCUAAUUGUUAGAAGGUAGGACAGUGAAUAAUGGCAAUACUGCAGAGUGGUUAGGAGAAUGUGAGCUUUGUGGUCAGUCAGAAAACUGCUUCAAAUCUCAACCGUGUCAUUUAGGAGUUGGGUGUGGGCAAGUUAUUUAACUUGAGUCUUACUUCUCACAUCUGUGUCUGUCAUAGGAUAAUUGUUUAUUAUCUGAAUAGUGAGAGUUGAAUAAAUUAUCCUCAAAAUUAAAUAAAAUGGAAGGAUUCAGUAUGAUGCCUGGAAGGCAUGCAUAUAUUAAGGUCUCAAUAAAUGCUAUUUGUUUUGAUUUAUUAUUAUUACAAUAAAAAAGUCACAGUGGAAAAAGCCAAAUUCUCAUUUUGAUUUAAAACUUUUCCAUAUUAUUAUUAUUAUCAUUUAAUGUUUUAGAGACAAGAUCUCCCUCUUUCACUCAGGCUUGGGUGCAGUCGUGAAAUCAUACAUAGCCCACUGCAACCUCGAACGCCUGAACUCAAGGGAUCCCACUGCUUAGCUGGGACUAAAGGUGUGUGCCACUGUGUUUGGCUAACUUUUUUUAUUCUUUGUAGAGAUGGGGGUCUUGCUGACAUCCAAGAUUUAUUUCAGUAUUUUUUAGUAAAUUAAUACUAUUAUGAGCUUAACAGAUGAAAGUUAUUCACCAUAAACUUUAAAGAACUGUGGAAAAAUUAUGUUUAAACAUUUUUAUAUUAUCUCAGCUCUGCUUCAUCCACUUCCCCAGUUAUUCAUCAGCUUUGAACACUUCUUCUAAAAGUUAAAUACUUGUCAGUCCUCUUAAUGGCCUCCAAGGAGAGAUAUGUCAAGAAUUUCAUUUGAAGCCUAUUUUGGUGUUUAAUCCUGCUGAGCCUAUGUCUCUACAAUUUAACAUUCAGUGGAAGCAAUAAAUGGUGAUCAUAUCAUCAAGAAAUUGGAUCCAUUCCUCAAAAACAUUCCAGUGAUCCAUUCCUUUCAUAUCCCUGCGAAAUGAUUUGUACUCAGAACAGUUGUGUGUGUGCACAAGCAUAUGCAGCACAUUAAGAAUGCCAAAUCUGAAUUUUUCAGUGGUCUGAAGUGGAAACUUCUCAUAGAGCAGCCAUAUGUUUUCUAGGAUUGCAUUAAUCUUACCUUUUAGGCAAACAAUAUAGUGCAUUUUGUCUAUGUUUUACCACAUACAACAAAUACUGAACCCUUUCUUAUUCCUGUAUCUAUGAAUGAAUAUGGAAAGACUUAUCUGAAAGGCAUAUCAAGGAUUUUUUUUUUUUAUUAGCUUACUUGGCCAGGCGUGGUGGCUCACUUCUGUAAUCCCAGCACUUUGGGAGGCUAAGGUGGGUGGAUCACUUGAGGUCAGGAGUUUGAAACUAGCCUGGCCAACAUGGCAAAACCCCGUCUCUACUAAAAAAAAAAAAAAAAAAAAAAAAAAAAAUUAGCCAAGUAUGGUGGCAGGCACCUGUAAUCCCACCUACUCGGGAGGCUGAGACAUGACAAUCAGUAGAACCUCGGUCGGGGAGGUUGCCGUGAGCUGAGAUCCUGACACUGUACUCCAGCCUGGGCUACAGAGUGACAUUCCAUCUCGAAAUAAAUAAAUAAAAAUAAAAUAAAAUUAGCUUACUUUAAAUGAGCAUUUCUUAUUUUUAAAUUCCAGAUUCUCAGGGGAGAAAAACCUGGGAGAGGGAAGCUUGGGUCAAGUGUACAAUGAGUUCAAUAAAGUUGAACAUAGGGGUAAGGUUAUGUGGUAUAAACAUGACUUUCUAGGAGCUUCUCAUUUGUGUUUGCAUAGAUUUAUUAAUAAAUUAAAGGAUACUAAUGAGCUAGGCUUAUAUCUUAAAGGAUAUCUAUUGUUCUCCCUUCACAUCCAGAGGUUUAAAGAAGAACUCCAUGUCUCAGAACGUUAUAGGAGGUCCAAGAUUUAAUUUGCAUCCACUUUCACCCCCUCCCUUAAGUCGUCCUCACCAUAUUUGUGCCUUGGUCUUUUGUCAUAACUGUUCCUUCUGAAAAAUAUGCUGAUAUUUCUUAUGUGAUCUCCUUUCAGAAUUAACUGUGAUUGUUAUGUUGAAUCAUAUUUCUGCAUUCUAUUGAUAGUAUACCUAUAACUGAUUAUGCUGUUAUGCAUAACUUUAGUAAGAUAUUUAUAAUACCUAUAACAUUCAUAAAGACUAUCCCUGGGUCAGCUAUUAGAAUAUUACUCAAUAUGUUGUGGAAAGUAGAUAUGCAUACGUUAAGUUUUGAGUCACCAGGUGAUAACUUUAAACUCAUUGAAUAAAAGCUAAUAUAUAACAAAAAGUCAGUGUAUGUGUGUAUGUGUGCAUUGGUGGGAGAUUAACGUGCCAUAGUGGGAGCUAUCAAACAUUGAAGAAAUUUAGUCUCUAUCUUGAAAUACAUACACUGCUUACAGGAAUAGAGAAAAGUGGAUAUAUACCUAUAUUUCCUAGAAUCUUGAGGAUCCUGCCUAGGUGUUUCAAACCACAGAAUCAGCCGACAUGAACAUAAGCAUUGUCUAUUGCCAUGUUUAUUAUAGUAUAGCUUUAUGAGUUCAAAGUUUUCACCCUUAGAUUGUUAUUAAUUUGCUUAGCAUGCUAUUUUCCUGGACCAUACAAAGGUUCCUGCUGUGUGCUUCAAACAGGUCCUUAUUUAACAGGAGCUGGCAGUCAACAUGCAGCUUAAACUAGUGACUCUCAAAAGGACCCUCAAAGACAUCUGUUGCUUAUUCCCAUUCUACUCAGUUUCCCAAGGUUUCACUCCCCUCCGCUACCUCUCUCACUCUUAGAAAAUGAUUCUACUGACAGCAUUUCUAAGAAGAUGAAGCUCAUCUGACAUGGGUUGCAUCAGUCUGUUGUUCCUGCUCUCAUCACUUCCUAUAUCUGCUGAGAUACCACUCCAUCAACUAUUCUACCCGUCAACCUCUUUUACCUUUGCCUAAUAACACGAAUAUACCCCUUUAUUCUAAGAAACAUUUCCAUUUGACUCCUUAAGUUAUUACUCCAAUCUUUUUCUCUUCUCUACCAGACAUAAAUGUCUAUACUUACUGCACUUCCUCACUACCCACAGUUUACUUGAGUCCUUACACUCUGACUUCUACACACACACUACUUUUCAUAUUUUUACCAGGUGACUAUCAUUAACUGUCAUAAUUUUCCAGCGCUUUGGGCAUAUAUAAAGUGCAUAUCCAUUUUACAAGAAUAUUGUUUUAGAUCAAAACUUGUUUCUUUCAAGGUGAUUUUAAAAUGUGUUUGGAAUAAAAUUAUUUAAUUCAUUUAAUUACAGUAUAUUACAGAGCAAAACCCAAUAAGAAAUUAGUUUCUACUUAAACUGUAAUAGUCUGCUCACAUAUUAAGUGAUUAUAAACACAAAUAGCUGAAAAGAAGUAUAAUGGAAGCAAUAAAUAUUGGUACUUGGUAGGAUUAUGACAAUUAAAUUGAAAGACACCUAGAGGGAUUAACAUUUUUCUACUAGGUCCAUUGCAUCCCCUUGGAACCUGCAGCUCUUUGUUCCUACCCGCUCUUGAAUUUGACCUUACCCACUAACUGUCGGUCCCACCCUCUCAAACUCAAAUUACCAAACCAGUGGCUAUUAAACCACAAGAACCAUCCCUCUCCCUUGAGAAUCAAUUUUACCAACUAUUCCUGAAACUUAGUUGAACUUCAGAUGCCUUCUUUGCUAAAGAUUUUAAGAAUUCUGCUCUUCCUCCCAAUCACAUGUCUUGGUCUUCUGAAUAAAUGUUUAUGCUUAAUGGUGCUUUGGUUUUCUUCCAAAAAAACCAAUGGAUUUUAUGUUAUUACAUACAGGGUGAUGGCAGAGAGAGAUGAGAAGAAAGGUCCAUGAUUAGCCCCGGGAACCCCAAUAUUAAAAAGCAAGGUAGAGAGGGAGAAAUAUGGACAGGAGAUUCAGAGAAGUGAGAGAGAUACCAAAUUAAAAUGGUAUUUUAUAAGCCUGGAGAGGAAGCAGUGUCAAAAAGGAGACAAUGGUUUACUCUUACAUGCUGCAGAGAAGUCAAGUAAGAGGGGAAUAAAGAAAUAGUCUUUGUGAUUUUAUUAUUCUUUUGAAUAUGUACUUGUAUUGAUGCAUCUUCAAUCCACAGUAACACUGUACAUGGCCAAUUCAUUCACUUAAUGUCUUGGAACCACAAAGUGCUAAGCAAUGGUGGGAAAUAUCUUUUUUCAACAACUAUAGUUUCUCACUUGUAGCAAAGCUUCCAAAUUUGCAAUCCACAACCUUUGGCCUCAGACUGACAACAGUGAUUCUAGGGGUUCAGAUAUCCACUGAUUUAAAUGUAAUUUAAAAUUUCAAUAUAACUGUAUUCAUAAUAUUGUUCAACUAUUAUUUUUAAAUGUUUGUAUAUGUCACUGUGAUUAGUGAAGUAUACAUUUCUAGUAGUUGUGUAUUAUUGUAUAUUUUCUCGAUCAAAAUAAAUCAAACUAUCACAUGAGGGGAUCCCUACGAUGUUGUAAACUUAAAUACGGUUUAUGUAAUUUUAAAGAUAACAAAUUCUAUUUCUUUUCAUUUUACUCUAAUACUUGGUGUGGAUUCUCUUCUCAAGAUCAUGAAGUAUCCACAUUUCCCUAUGGAAAUGAAAUGUAAUUUAUUUAUUCUUAAACAAUUUUUAAUAUUUAAUACAUACAAAAGGUAAUAUAUGCCACAGAGAUAUUUUACUUUUAUAAGUGGGAACAAUGAAAUGUGUGAGUUCAUUUUGAUUCCAGUCCAUACAUGUUAGUUUGUGAAAUUUUGGGGGAGGGGCACCUACAAAUCUAGAUUCCAAGAAUUAGACACACUAAACAUAAAUUUCAUGAAUGUUGACCACUUUUGACAGUCUAAAUUAUAAAACAAGCAAAUGGUUGUAAUUUUAUGUAUCAUUUAAUUCAUUUACUUUUUUGAAUGUGACAAAACUAGCUAUCAAACUAUAACUCAUGGUUUAUUUUGUUUCAUUUUGUUUUGUUUUUGUUAUUCAGCAG
rnacentral:lncRNA from 10 species